UACGUAGGGGGCAAGCGUUGUCCGGAAUUAUUGGGCGUAAAGCGCGCGCAGGCGGCCUUUUAAGUCUGAUGUGAAAGCCCACGGCUCAACCGUGGAAGGUCAUUGGAAACUGAAAGGCUUGAGUACAGAAGAGGAAAGCGGAAUUCCACGUGUAGCGGUGAAAUGCGUAGAGAUGUGGAGGAACACCAGUGGCGAAGGCGGCUUUUUGGUCUGUAACUGACGCUGAGGCGCGAAAGCGUGGGGAGCAAACAGG
rnacentral:rRNA from 1 species